UGCUAAUAUUGAUGGUUCAGUUGGUAGAGCAUGAGACUCUUAAUCUCAGGGUUGUAGGUUCAAGCCCCGGUUGAGUAA